rnacentral:lncRNA from 1 species
UUCUCAUGCUGGUGUGGUCUGUUUUCCCUCCCAGAGUGUAUGAGUACCAGAAGAUCCCUCCACUUAUUAAUCGCAUUCCUGUCAAGGCCAGGAGAACUCACCUGGGGACAGGAGGGAAAAGCAGUCUGAACCCCCACACUGGGCCAAGAAGCAGCAGCAACUCAGCAGUGGGUCGGACAAAAUUGCGAGCAGAAGAGCUUCAUUCCAUUAAGGGAGAGCUGAGCCAGAUCAAAGCCCAGGUGGACAGUCUGCUGGAGAGUCUGGACCGGAUGGACCAGAGACGAGAGCGGCUGACAGGGUCCAAGGAGAGUGAGAAAAAGAACGCUGAGGCAAGUGAAGGCCCCUCAUCCCCCGUGGGGGAGAUGCUGCGGGAACCCCGGGGAAAGGAGAGCACGGCAGCCGAUGAGCAGAGUGACCUGAGAGACAUCGACAGCGUGGAGGAGGGUACAGACACGGAGGAGACGAUGAAGAAUCACACGUCGGAUCCUGAAGGCAGCCAUUAGAUGGACUGGGAUGUUACAGCCACCCCCAGGCUGGGCAGCGUUUCCUUUCUUGUGUUUGUAUUUCUUUCAAGGCCUUCAGCUGGUGCCAGACAUGACAUGAGUUACCUGGUCUCAGUGCUAGUGCAGCAAAACCAGAGCCCCAAGCCACUUUGACUAGCACCUCACUAUUUCCUGCAGAACAAGACUCCCAAUGUGCCCA